AGCGGGAACAGCAUAAAUUUGAAAUNUNCGCGGCCCCGCGGCGAAUUGUAGUUCAAGAGGCGUUUCGGNGGCGGCCUUGGCANAAGUCCCUUGGAACAGGGUGNCAUAGAGGGUGAGAACCCCGUGAAGCCUUGGCUUGCCGCUAUGUGAUCGCAUUUCAAAGAGUCGGGUUGUUUGGGAUUGCAGCCCUAAUGGGAGGUAAAUUUCUUCUAAAGCUAAAUACUGGCGAGAGACCGAUAGCGAACAAGUACCGUGAGGGAAAGAUGAAAAGAACUUUGAAAAGAGAGUUAAACAGUCGUGAAAUUGUCAAAAGGGAAUGGCUUGAAACCAGUCAUGCUGUCUGGAAUUCAGCAGGCCACACCGGCCUGUCCACUUUCCAGAUGGCAGGUCAACGUCAGUUUUCUUCGUGUCGAAAGGCCUUGGGAAGGNAGCGAGCCUUCGGGCGCGUGUUAUAGCCCCUGGCUCUGGCAUGUGGGGAGACUGAGGACCGCAGGGCGCACUGGGUUAACCGGUCAGGCGAAUACCUUUUGGCGGACUGCACGCAGGCCGUCAGAAGGCAUAAACCUUUGCCGGCUACACCUCUCCGUCCCUUAGGACGUUGACGAAAUGGUUUUAAACCACCCGUCUUGAAACACGGACCAAGGAGUCUAACAUAUACGCGAGUAUUUGGGUGGCAAACCCAUAUGCGAAAUGAAAGUGAUUCAGGUGGGAUCCUCGGUGCACCAUCGACCGGUCUGAUAUUUUAAUGAUAGAUCUGAGUAAGAUGCGUAUCUGUUGGGACCCGAAAGAUGGUGAACUAUGCCUAAUAGGGCGAAGCCANNUGAAA
rnacentral:rRNA from 1 species